rnacentral:rRNA from 1 species
AAAGCCCUUUGGGGUGUAAAAGCUCUGUCAGCUGGAACGAAAAUACAUAUGACGG